GCGCAGUUAGCUCAGUCGGUAGAGCGUUAGCCCGUUCGAGGCUAGAGGUCACAGGUUCGAGUCCUGUAUCGCGUA
rnacentral:tRNA from 1 species